rnacentral:lncRNA from 1 species
UCACCCCCCAAAAAAACCACCUUUUGGAAUAAAAACCCGCUUUUAAUCUCCCCCUUUUUUUUCCAUCCCCUGCCCCCAAAACCAGGGUUGGGGGGGGUGUGUGUGUGUGUGUCCCCCCCCCCUCACUCCCCCUGGAGGAGCUGGAGGAUUUCGGGGUCCAGGCGGGCGGGGGCCAGGCAGGCCAGGAGCCGGGGGGCCGUGGCCCCCCCUUUUUCCUUCCUCCUCCAUUCCCUCAGCAUCUGGAAGCUCCUCAUGACGGCGUUCCCUCCUUCCUCCUCCCGGAUCUGCUCCAGACGGCUCCUCUCCAGCCCCAGGCACCCGAUCCCCACCUCCUCCCACUCUUUGCCCAAUUUUUGGGCGAUUGCCAGCAAAUCCUUCUCCGUCAACACGCGGGGGGGCGGGGGGGACACCCCCGGGUUGAGGGUCGGACACCCCGUAUCCUUCCUCCAUCCUCCCAGGGAGGAGGAAGAGGAGGCGUUUGGUGCCACCUUCUCCUUCUCCUUUUCCUUCUCCUUCUCCUUCUCCUUUUCCUUCUCCUUCUCCUUCUCCUUCUCCUUCUCCUUCUCCUUCUCCUUCUCCUUCUCCUUCUCCUUCUCCUUCUCCUUCUCCUUCUCCUUCUCCUUCUCCUUCUUCACCUCUUUCUUCCUCUUCUUCUUCUUCCUCCUCCUCCUCUUCCUCGGCCCCGGGGAGGCGAUGGAGGCGCAGGAGGUCCCGGCGACCGAGGUGACGGAGAACGUCGGCGGCCACUUCCAAAGCUUUUCCGGGGAAGCGCUGGAGCAGGAGGCGGCAGAGCUCCGGGCGGGAUGUGGGGCUGAGCGCGCCGUGGGGCAGCCGCCCCUCCAGCAGGUACUUGAAGGUCUGGAAUUCCUCCUCCGACAGCGCCCGCUGCAGGGCCAGCAGCGUCUCCCGCUCGCCCCCCGCCAUGGGGCUGGGCUGGGGGUUAGGGGGCGGCCGUCAGACCCACGGAGAGCUGUGGGGCUGGGCUACCCCCCGACCCAUAGGCUGCCGUGGGGAGAGAUCACCCCCUGCCCCAUAGAAUCCCAUAGGGAGAGAUCAGUCCCUGCCCCAUAGACUGCCAUGGGGACAGAUCACCCCCUGACCCAUAGACGGACGUGGAGGCUGGGUCAUCCCCUGCCCCACAGCCUGCCAUGGGGCGGGGCCACCCCCUACCCCAUAGGCUGCUGUGGGGCUGGGCCACCCUCUGCCCCAGAGAUUGCUGUGGGGACAGAUCACCCCCUGCCCCAUAGACUGCCAUAGGGAGAGAUCACUUCCUGCCCCAUAGACUGCCGUGGGGACAGAUCACCCUCUGCCCCAUAGAUUGCUCUGGGGAUAGAUCACCCCCUGACCCAUAGAGUGCUGUGGGGAUAGAUCACCCCCUGCCCCAUAGGCUGCUGUGGGGCUGGGCCACCCCCUGCCCCAUAGACUCCCAUAGGGAGAGAUCCCUCCCUGACCCAUAGGCUGCCGUGGGAACAGAUCACCCCCUGCCCCAUAGACUGCCAUAGGGAGAGAUCACUUCCUGCCCCAUAGACUGCCGUGGGGACAGAUCACCCUCUGCCCCAUAGAUUGCUCUGGGGAUAGAUCACCCCCUGACCCAUAGAGUGCUGUGGGGAUAGAUCACCCCCUGCCCCAUAGGCUGCUGUGGGGCUGGGCCACCCCCUGCCCCAUAGACUCCCAUAGGGAGAGAUCCCUCCCUGACCCAUAGGCUGCCGUGGGAACAGAUCACCCCCUGCCCCAUAGACUGCCAUGGGGCUGGGACAUCCCCUGCCCCAUAGAUGGACGUGGAGGGUGGGUCAUCCCCUGCCCCACAGCCUGCCAUGGGGCUGGGCCACCCUCUGCCCCAGAGAUUGCUGUGGGGACAGAUCACCCCCUGCCCCAUAGACUGCCAUGGGGCUGGGACAUCCCCUGCCCCAUAGAUGGACGUGGAGGGUGGGUCAUCCCCUGCCCCACAGCCUGCCAUGGGGCUGGGCCACCCCCUGCCCCAUAGACUCCCAUAGGGAGAGAUCACUCCCUGACCCAUAGGCUGCCGUGGGAACAGAUCACCCCCUGCCCCAUAGACUGCCAUGGUGCUGGG